UGGGGAAUUUUGGACAAUGGGCGCAAGCCUGAUCCAGCCAUUCCGCGUGAGUGAAGAAGGCCUUCGGGUUGUAAAGCUCUUUCGCAAGGGAAGAAAACUUACAUUCUAAUAAAGUGUGAGGCUGACGGUACCUUGAUAAGAAGCACCGGCUAACUACGUGCCAGCAGCCGCGGUAAUACGUAGGGUGCGAGCGUUAAUCGGAAUUACUGGGCGUAAAGCGUGCGCAGGCGGUUUGGCAAGUCAGAUGUGAAAUCCCCGAGCUCAACUUGGGAACUGCGUUUGAAACUGCCAGACUAGAAUAUGUCAGAGGGGGGUAGAAUUCCACGUGUAGCAGUGAAAUGCGUAGAGAUGUGGAGGAAUACCAAUGGCGAAGGCAGCCCCCUGGGAUAAUAUUGACGCUCAUGCACGAAAGCGUGGGGAGCAAACAGGAUUAGAUACCCUGGUAGUCCACGCCCUAAACGAUGUCUACUAGUUGUUGGUGGAGUAAAAUCCAUGAGUAACGCAGCUAACGCGUGAAGUAGACCGCCUGGGGAGUACGGUCGCAAGAUUA
rnacentral:rRNA from 1 species